rnacentral:rRNA from 1 species
GACGAACGCUGGCGGCGUGCCUAAUACAUGCAAGUAGAACGCACAGUUUAUACCGUAGCUUGCUACACCAUAAACUGUGAGUUGCGAACGGGUGAGUAACGCGUAGGUAACCUGCCUGGUAGCGGGGGAUAACUAUUGGAAACGAUAGCUAAUACCGCAUAAUAUUUAUUAUUGCAUGAUAAUUGAUUGAAAGAUGCUAUUGCAUCACUACCAGAUGGACCUGCGUUGUAUUAGCUAGUAGGUGAGGUAACGGCUCACCUAGGCGACGAUACAUAGCCGACCUGAGAGGGUGAUCGGCCACACUGGGACUGAGACACGGCCCAGACUCCUACGGGAGGCAGCAGUAGGGAAUCUUCGGCAAUGGACGAAAGUCUGACCGAGCAACGCCGCGUGAGUGAAGAAGGUUUUCGGAUCGUAAAGCUCUGUUGUAAGAGAAGAACGGGUGUGAGAGUGGAAAGUUCACACUGUGACGGUAUCUUACCAGAAAGGGACGGCUAACUACGUG